rnacentral:rRNA from 1 species
GACGAACGCUGGCGGCGUGCUUAACACAUGCAAGUCGAACGGAAAGGCCCUGCUUUUGUGGGGUGCUCGAGUGGCGAACGGGUGAGUAACACGUGAGUAACCUGCCCUUGACUUUGGGAUAACUUCAGGAAACUGGGGCUAAUACCGGAUAGGAGCUCCUGCUGCAUGGUGGGGGUUGGAAAGUUUCGGCGGUUGGGGAUGGACUCGCGGCUUAUCAGCUUGUUGGUGGGGUAGUGGCUUACCAAGGCUUUGACGGGUAGCCGGCCUGAGAGGGUGACCGGCCACAUUGGGCCUGGGAUACGGCCCAGACUCUUACGGGAGGCAGCAGUGGGAAUAUUGCACAAUGGGCGGAAGCCUGAUGCAGCAACGCCGCGUGCGGGAUGACGGCCUUCGGGUUGUAAACCGCUUUCGCCUGUGACGAAGCGUGAGUGACGGUAAUGGGUAAAGAAGCACCGGCUAACUACGUG